rnacentral:rRNA from 1 species
GACAGAGGUGCCGAGCGUUAGGCGGAAUCACUGGGCUUAAAGCGUGUGUAGGCGGAUCGUUAAGUGCCUUGUGAAAUCCCACGGCUCAACCGUGGAACUGCUUGGCAUACUGGCGGUCUUGAGCCACUUAGGGGCUACCGGAACAAAUGGUGGAGCGGUGAAAUGCGUAGAUAUCAUUUGGAACGCCAAUGGUGAAAACAGGUAGCUGGGAGUGAGCUGACGCUGAGACACGAAAGCCAGGGGAGCGAACGGG